UCGGGAAUUUUGGGCAAUGGGCGAAAGCCUGACGCAGCGACGCCGCGUGAGUGAUGAAGGCCUUCGGGUUGUAAAGCUCUGUGGGGAGAGAAGAAUAAGUGCGGGCUAAUACCCCGCAUGAUGACGGUAUCUCCUUAGCAAGCACCGGCUAACUCUGUGCCAGCAGCCGCGGUAAGACAGAGGGUGCAAACGUUGUUCGGAAUUACUGGGCGUAAAGCGAGUGUAGGCGGUUUGGUAAGUCGGAUGUGAAAGCCCCGGGCUCAACCCGGGAAGUGCAUUCGAUACUGCCAAGCUAGAGUAUCGGAGAGGUUGGUGGAAUUCUCGGUGUAGAGGUGAAAUUCGUAGAUAUCGAGAGGAACACCGGUGGCGAAGGCGGCCAACUGGACGAAUACUGACGCUGAGACUCGAAAGCGUGGGGAGCAAACAGGAUUAGAUACCCUAGUAGUCCCUGAGCGGGCUGGCAAGGCGCAU
rnacentral:rRNA from 1 species